GCAGCAAUCCAUGCUAAGGCCGAAUACUUCAAUACCAAGCGUGGCCCAGCUAACCUGAUGCGCAACGCUUUCGCUGAUCCUCCACCUGCUUCAGCACCCGCCCCAACCCCACCUCAGCAUUCUACCCCUGCCCCGAGUACUCAGGACAACCAACAACAUAAGCGGAAGGAUAGCUACCAGCAUCCCUUUGGUAAUAACAAACGUGGCAGACAUGGCAACCACCACCACUCUAGCGGAGGCAACCCUCCUAGACCUGCUGAUCGGGCCCCACUUCCAUUCACACCCAGGCCCAGGUUCGAGGUAUUUACCAC
rnacentral:lncRNA from 1 species